rnacentral:rRNA from 1 species
CAGUAGCCACGGUAAAACGUAGGGGGCGAGCGUUAUUCGGAAUCAUUGGGCGUAAAGCGUGCGUAGGCGGUGAGUUAAGUCUGCUGUGAAAUCCCCGGGCUCAACCUGGGAAUGGCAGUGGAUACUGGCUCGCUAGAGUGUGUCAGAGGAUGGUGGAAUUCCCGGUGUAGCGGUGAAAUGCGUAGAGAUCGGGAGGAACAUCAGUGGCGAAGGCAGCCCCCUGGGCCAAUACUGACGCUCAUGCACGAAAGCGUGGGGAGCAAACAGGAUUAGAUACCCGCGUAGUCCCUGUCUCUUAUAC